rnacentral:rRNA from 1 species
CCUGAACGCUGGCGGCGUGGCUAAGACAUGCAAGUCGUACGGACCCGCAAGGGUCAGUGGCGAACGGGUGAGUAAUGAAUCGCUAAUGUGCCCCGGACUCAGGGAUAGCUACUCGAAAGGGUAGGUAAUACCUGAUGACAUAACCUUGUCGCAUGGCAGGGUUCUCAAAGGUCCGCCGGUCUGGGAGCAGGCGAUUUCGUAUCAGCUAGUUGGUGAGGUAACGGCUCACCAAGGCGACGACGCGUAGCCGGACUGAGAGGUUGGCCGGCCACAUUGGGACUGAGACACUGCCCAGACUCCUACGGGGGGCUNCAGUAACGAAUCUUCCGCAAUGCACGAAAGUGUGACGGAGCGACGCCGCGUGU